GACGAACGCUGGCGGCGUGCUUAACACAUGCAAGUCGAACGGAAAGGCCCUGCUUUUGUGGGGUGCUCGAGUGGCGAACGGGUGAGUAACACGUGAGUAACCUGCCCUUGACUUUGGGAUAACUUCAGGAAACUGGGGCUAAUACCGGAUAGGAGCUCCUGCUGCAUGGUGGGGGUUGGAAAGUUUCGGCGGUUGGGGAUGGACUCGCGGCUUAUCAGCUUGUUGGUGGGGUAGUGGCUUACCCAGGCUUUGACGGGUAGCCGGCCUGAGAGGGUGACCGGGCACAAUGGGACUGAGGGACGGACCAGACGCGUACGGGAGGCAGCAGUGGGGAGUAUUGCACAAUGGGCGGAAGCCUGAUGCAGCAACGCCGCGUGCGGGAUGACGGCCUUCGGGUUGUAAACCGCUUUCGCCUGUGACGAAGCGUGAGUGACGGUAAUGGGUAAAGAAGCACCGGCUAACUACGUG
rnacentral:rRNA from 1 species